UCGGCAAACCGCGGCUCAUGAGC
rnacentral:miRNA from 1 species